UACAGAGGUGGCAAGCGUUGUUCGGAAUUACUGGGCGUAAAGGGCGCGUAGGCGGCCUUCUAAGUCAGACGUGAAAUCCCCCGGCUUAACCUGGGAACUGCGUUUGUGACUGCAAGGCUAGAGUACGGCAGAGGGUAGUGGAAUUCCCGGUGUAGCGGUGAAAUGCGUAGAGAUCGGGAGGAACACCAGUGGCGAAGGCGGCUACCUGGACCAGCACUGACACUGAGGCACGAAAGCGUGGGGAGCAAACAGG
rnacentral:rRNA from 1 species